rnacentral:rRNA from 1 species
CCUACGGGAGGCAGCAGUGAGGAAUAUUGGACAAUGGGCGCAAGCCUGAUCCAGCCAUGCCGCGUGCAGGAAGACGGUCCUAUGGAUUGUAAACUGCUUUUAUACAGGAAGAAACACCUCUACGUGUAGAGACUUGACGGUACUGUAUGAAUAAGCAUCGGCUAACUCCGUGCCAGCAGCCGCGGUAAUACGGAGGAUGCAAGCGUUAUCCGGAAUCAUUGGGUUUAAAGGGUCCGUAGGCGGUUUAAUAAGUCAGUGGUGAAAGCCCAUCGCUCAACGAUGGAACGGCCAUUGAUACUGUUAAACUUGAAUUAUUAGGAAGUAACUAGAAUAUGUAGUGUAGCGGUGAAAUGCUUAGAGAUUACAUGGAAUACCAAUUGCGAAGGCAGGUUACUACUAAUAUAUUGACGCUGAUGGACGAAAGCGUGGGGAGCGAACAGGAUUAGAUACCCUGGUAGUCCACGCCGUAAACGAUGGAUACUAGCUGUUCGGAGCAAUCUGAGUGGCUAAGCGAAAGUGAUAAGUAUCCCACCUGGGGAGUACGUUGCAAGAAUGAAACUUAAAUGAAUUGAGG